GCUCCUCUGUGGCGUGCGUGACUACCGAUAAUGUGUCUUGAUCGAUAAUUGUUUUCUAGGAGUCUUAGCAGUCUUCGCCGCAGUAAACCAGACUUGCAUCUGGGAACUUAAGUUAGGUUAAGCGCCUUGGCUCCACCUGGUUUUACCGGGUCAAACAACUGAGGUAAGACGGCGUUGCGGAGGGGUG
rfam:Pseudanabaena biceps PCC 7429 scaffold_00017, whole genome shotgun sequence.